CCGAGUGCGGGCCCGCUCCGGGCCCAACCUCCCACCCGUGUCUCUUGCGUACUUUGUUGCUUUGGCGGGCCCACCGGGUCACUCCGGUCGCCGGGGGGCGCUAUGCUCCCGGGCCCGUGCCCGCCAGAGCACCCCUGUGAACCCUGAUGAAGAGAGGCUGUCUGAGUCCCACGAUAAUCGUUA
rnacentral:misc_RNA from 1 species